rnacentral:rRNA from 1 species
AGGGAAUCUUCCACAAUGGGCGCAAGCCUGAUGGAGCAACACCGCGUGAGUGAAGAAGGGUUUCGGCUCGUAAAGCUCUGUUGUUGGAGAAGAACGUGCGUGAGAGUAACUGUUUAUGCAGUGACGGUAUCCAACCAGAAAGUCACGGCUAACUACGUGCCAGCAGCCGCGGUAAUACGUAGGUGGCAAGCGUUAUCCGGAUUUAUUGGGCGUAAAGCGAGCGCAGGCG